UACGUAGGGUGCAAGCGUUGUCCGGAAUUAUUGGGCGUAAAGAGCUUGUAGGCGGUUUGUCGCGUCUGCUGUGAAAUUUCGGGGCUCAACCCCGAACUUGCAGUGGGUACGGGCAGACUAGAGUUCGGUAGGGGAGACUGGAAUUCCUGGUGUAGCGGUGAAAUGCGCAGAUAUCAGGAGGAACACCGGUGGCGAAGGCGGGUCUCUGGGCCGAAACUGACGCUGAGGAGCGAAAGCGUGGGGAGCAAACAGG
rnacentral:rRNA from 1 species